rfam:Dictyocaulus viviparus strain HannoverDv2000 D_viviparus-1.0_Cont428.8, whole genome shotgun sequence.
CCAACGGCCCUCUUUAGGGCCACAAAUUGUGUCGAAUACUUUCUU